UGGCACAUCAGCGCAUGCGUGUCACUGUCAUGGCCAUUCUCUGUGCUGAUUUGGCAGGUGUUGGACGUCAAUCUCCUGCUUGCAUGGCUAAGACGGAGCCUCCUGACGAAAGAAUCUGGAGUUGGCAUUAUGGAACAAUGGUAAAUAAUUCAGCGUAGCUUGAGGCGUGUAUAGAGCUGGGUGUGGCCAAAACUUCCUGAAGCACGUUAGCGUGGAUGUUUCGUCAUGACUAGGAAGACGAGUUAUGUGACAGGAAUGAUGUUUUCUGACCUGACGAGUCCAUUGCUGAGCUCCAGAGAAGGAACAAACAAUAUUCAAUAAAAUAUAACGUAAAUUUUUAAAGUUUGUUGAAGGGGUGUGAAACAAAAAUGGUAAAAAAAAAAGGGGGGUAGGGGUGUGAAAAGGUGGGGUAGGGGUAUAAAAAAUGGUAAAAAAAAAAAGUUUAACGUGAACAUUUCGUAUAGAUCCAGUGCUCUGGAUCUAAUUUUCACACCCCUCACCUUAAACUUAGUCUAAUUUUCACACCCCUAUCCUCCGCCCCCCUUAUUAUUACGGCGGCUGGUUUUACGUUUUUCAUAUCCAAUUUAAUUUAUAAUUUUCAUCCCUCAGCCGCCGCCUUCCUCCUCCAAUUUAUUUUCACCGUCAACUGCUAUAAAAUCGUACAAAAAAUUAGAAUUAAGACUUUUUUUUCUAGGUUGUGCUUCAUAACUUGUGGUCACAUAGUGUUCUUCGUGGUCACAUAGUGUUCUUCAAUGGUUGUAUAAAAAUAAAUAAAUAAAAAUACUAAAUACUAAAUAAAUACUAAAUAAAAA